rnacentral:rRNA from 1 species
UGACUGCGUACCUUUUGUAUAAUGGGUCAGCGACUUAUAUUCUGUAGCAAGGUUAACCGAAUAGGGGAGCCGAAGGGAAACCGAGUCUUAACUGGGCGUUAAGUUGCAGGGUAUAGACCCGAAACCCGGUGAUCUAGCCAUGGGCAGGUUGAAGGUUGGGUAACACUAACUGGAGGACCGAACCGACUAAUGUUGAAAAAUUAGCGGAUGACUUGUGGCUGGGGGUGAAAGGCCAAUCAAACCGGGAGAUAGCUGGUUCUCCCCGAAAGCUAUUUAGGUAGCGCCUCGUGAAUUCAUCUCCGGGGGUAGAGCACUGUUUCGGCAAGGGGGUCAUCCCGACUUACCAACCCGAUGCAAACUGCGAAUACCGGAGAAUGUUAUCACGGGAGACACACGGCGGGUGCUAACGUCCGUCGUGAAGAGGGAAACAACCCAGACCGCCAGCUAAGGUCCCAAAGUCAUGGUUAAGUGGGAAACGAUGUGGGAAGGCCCAGACAGCCAGGAUGUUGGCUUAGAAGCAGCCAUCAUUUAAAGAAAGCGUAAUAGCUCACUGGUCGAGUCGGCCUGCGCGGAAGAUGUAACGGGGCUAAACCAUGCACCGAAGCUGCGGCAGCGACACUAUGUGUUGUUGGGUAGGGGAGCGUUCUGUAAGCCUGUGAAGGUGUACUGUGAGGUAUGCUGGAGGUAUCAGAAGUGCGAAUGCUGACAUAAGUAACGAUAAAGCGGGUGAAAAGCCCGCUCGCCGGAAGACCAAGGGUUCCUGUCCAACGUUAAUCGGGGCAGGGUGAGUCGACCCCUAAGGCGAGGCCGAAAGGCGUAGUCGAUGGGAAACAGGUUAAUAUUCCUGUACUUGGUGUUACUGCGAAGGGGGGACGGAGAAGGCUAUGUUGGCCGGGCGACGGUUGUCCCGGUUUAAGCGUGUAGGCUGGUUUUCCAGGCAAAUCCGGAAAAUCAAGGCUGAGGCGUGAUGACGAGGCACUACGGUGCUGAAGCAACAAAUGCCCUGCUUCCAGGAAAAGCCUCUAAGCAUCAGGUAACAUCAAAUCGUACCCCAAACCGACACAGGUGGUCAGGUAGAGAAUACCAAGGCGCUUGAGAGAACUCGGGUGAAGGAACUAGGCAAAAUGGUGCCGUAACUUCGGGAGAAGGCACGCUGAUAUGUAGGUGAAGUCCCUCGCGGAUGGAGCUGAAAUCAGUCGAAGAUACCAGCUGGCUGCAACUGUUUAUUAAAAACACAGCACUGUGCAAACACGAAAGUGGACGUAUACGGUGUGACGCCUGCCCGGUGCCGGAAGGUUAAUUGAUGGGGUCAGCGCAAGCGAAGCUCUUGAUCGAAGCCCCGGUAAACGGCGGCCGUAACUAUAACGGUCCUAAGGUAGCGAAAUUCCUUGUCGGGUAAGUUCCGACCUGCACGAAUGGCGUAAUGAUGGCCAGGCUGUCUCCACCCGAGACUCAGUGAAAUUGAACUCGCUGUGAAGAUGCAGUGUACCCGCGGCAAGACGGAAAGACCCCGUGAACCUUUACUAUAGCUUGACACUGAACAUUGAGCCUUGAUGUGUAGGAUAGGUGGGAGGCUUAGAAGUGUGGACGCCAGUCUGCAUGGAGCCGACCUUGAAAUACCACCCUUUAAUGUUUGAUGUUCUAACGUUGACCCGUGAUCCGGGUUGCGGACAGUGUCUGGUGGGUAGUUUGACUGGGGCGGUCUCCUCCUAAAGAGUAACGGAGGAGCACGAAGGUUGGCUAAUCCUGGUCGGACAUCAGGAGGUUAGUGCAAUGGCAUAAGCCAGCUUGACUGCGAGCGUGACGGCGCGAGCAGGUGCGAAAGCAGGUCAUAGUGAUCCGGUGGUUCUGAAUGGAAGGGCCAUCGCUCAACGGAUAAAAGGUACUCCGGGGAUAACAGGCUGAUACCGCCCAAGAGUUCAUAUCGACGGCGGUGUUUGGCACCUCGAUGUCGGCUCAUCACAUCCUGGGGCUGAAGUAGGUCCCAAGGGUAUGGCUGUUCGCCAUUUAAAGUGGUACGCGAGCUGGGUUUAGAACGUCGUGAGACAGUUCGGUCCCUAUCUGCCGUGGGCGCUGGAGAACUGAGGGGGGCUGCUCCUAGUACGAGAGGACCGGAGUGGACGCAUCACUGGUGUUCGGGUUGUCAUGCCAAUGGCACUGCCCGGUAGCUAAAUGCGGAAGAGAUAAGUGCUGAAAGCAUCUAAGCACGAAACUUGCCCCGAGAUGAGUUCU